rnacentral:rRNA from 1 species
UACGGAGGAUGCAAGCGUUAUCCGGAAUGAUUGGGCGUAAAGGGUCCGCAGGUGGUACUGUAAGUCUGCUGUUAAAGAGCGAGGCUCAACCUUGUAAAAGCGGUGGAAACUACAGAACUAGAGUGCGUUCGGGGCAGAAGGAAUUCCUGGUGUAGCGGUGAAAUGCGUAGAUAUCAGGAAGAACACCGGUGGCGAAAGCGUUCUGCUAGGCCGCAACUGACACUGAGGGACGAAAGCUAGGGGAGCGAAUGGG